AUUGAACGCUGGCGGCAGGCCUAACACAUGCAAGUCGAGCGGCAGCGGGAAAGUAGCUUGCUACUUUUGCCGGCGAGCGGCGGACGGGUGAGUAAUGCCUGGGAAAUUGCCCAGUCGAGGGGGAUAACAGUUGGAAACGACUGCUAAUACCGCAUACGCCCUGCGGGGGAAAGCAGGGGACCUUCGGGCCUUGCGCGAUUGGAUAUGCCCAGGUGGGAUUAGCUAGUUGGUGAGGUAAUGGCUCACCAAGGCGACGAUCCCUAGCUGGUCUGGGAGGAGGAUCAGCCACACUGGAACUGAGACACGGUCCAGACUCCUACGGGAGGCAGCAGUGGGGAAUAUUGCACAAUGGGGGAAACCCUGAUGCAGCCAUGCCGCGUGUGUGAAGAAGGCCUUCGGGUUGUAAAGCACUUUCAGCGAGGAGGAAAGGUUGAUGCCUAAUACGUAUCAACUGUGACGUUACUCGCAGAAGAAGCACCGGCUAACUCCGUGCCAGCCGCCGCCGUAAAAC
rnacentral:rRNA from 1 species